rnacentral:lncRNA from 1 species
CAUCUGCACCGUCCGUGAUGGCAGCCCCUCGCGACGUGUGCCACUGAACACUUGACAGCAGACUGGUGCAGCUAAGGAACAGAGUUUUCAAUUUCAUUUUUUUUUUUCUUAGAUGGAGUCUCGCUCUGUCACCCAGGCUGGAGUGCACUGGCGCAAUCUCAGCUCACUGCAACCUCCACCUCCCGCGUUCAGGCGAUUGUCCUGGCUCAGCCUCCUGAGUAGCUGGGAUUACAGGUGCCUGCCACGAUGCCCAGCUGAUUUUUUGUAUUUUUAGUAGAGACGGGGUUUCACUGUGUUGGCCAGGCUGGUCUUGGAACUCCUGACCUCAAGUGAUCUGCCCGCCUCCGCCUCCCAAAGUGCUGGGAUUACAGGUGUGAGCCACCACACCCGGCCAUCGUUCCAUUUUAAUUAACUUAAAUACGAGCAGCCACAUGUGGCCUCUGGUUCCUGCCACGGACUCGGGAGCAACCCCUCCUGGUCGCGGCUUAUGCGCCUUCUCUGUGUGCUGCUGGGGUUAGUUUGCAUGUAACCUCUUGAGGACCCCACGUGUGCAUUCCUAAGGGGUGCGGCCUCCCGUUUCCGUAUGAAUGGGAAGAGUUCCCACCUGCUGUAUUCUUGGAAAGAGUCUGUGAAGGAUUGGUGUUAAUUCUUCCUUAACUGCUUAGAAAAAUUCUAUCGUGAAGGCUCUGAGCCUGAGCUUUUCUUUGUGGGAUUUUUUUUUUU